rnacentral:misc_RNA from 1 species
GCAGGGUGGUGGUUGUGAAGGAUUAACACUAGGGUUAAGGGAAGGUGACUCCACUCCCAGUGUUUUAAGAAGAAAACUCCUUUCACUUUCAGAGAAUUGCGGGCUGGGAAUUCCUGCUGCCAAGGAUCUAAAAAGUGGAAUUACAUGCAUGGGGGAGCUGAAUUCUGAGCUUGAAAAGGAAGAGGCAAUGGAAUCAAUUUUUCGUUCAUUGCAACACU